AUUGAACGCUAGCGGGAUGCUUUACACAUGCAAGUCGAACGGCAGCGCGGACUUCGGUCUGGCGGCGAGUGGCGAACGGGUGAGUAAUGUAUCGGAACGUGCCCAGUAGCGGGGGAUAACUACGCGAAAGCGUAGCUAGUACCGCAUACGCCCUACGGGGGAAAGCAGGGGAUCGUAAGACCUUGCACUAUUGGAGCGGCCGAUAUCGGAUUAGCUAGUUGGUGAGGUAACGGCUCACCAAGGCGACGAUCCGUAGCUGGUUUGAGAGGACGACCAGCCACACUGGGACUGAGACACGGCCCAGACUCCUACGGGAGGCAGCAGUGGGGAAUUUUGGACAAUGGGGGCAACCCUGAUCCAGCCAUCCCGCGUGUGCGAUGAAGGCCUUCGGGUUGUAAAGCACUUUUGGCAGGAAAGAAACGUCGCGGGCUAAUACCCCGUGGAACUGACGGUACCUGCAGAAUAAGCACCGGCUAACUACGUG
rnacentral:rRNA from 1 species